rnacentral:rRNA from 1 species
AUACGGAGGGGGUUAGCGUUGUUCGGAAUUACUGGGCGUAAAGCGCACGUAGGCGGACUGGAAAGUUGGGGGUGAAAUCCCGGGGCUCAACCCCGGAACUGCCUCCAAAACUUCCAAUCUAGAGAUCGAGAGAGGUGAGUGGAAUUCCAAGUGUAGAGGUGAAAUUCGUAGAUAUUUGGAGGAACACCAGUGGCGAAGGCGGCUCACUGGCUCGAUACUGACGCUGAGGUGCGAAAGCGUGGGGAGCAAACAGGAUUAGAUACCCCAGUAGUCC